rnacentral:rRNA from 1 species
CCUACGGGAGGCUGCAGUGAGGAAUAUUGGUCAAUGGGCGCGAGCCUGAACCAGCCAAGUAGCGUGAAGGAUGACUGCCCUACGGGUUGUAAACUUCUUCUAUAAAGGAAUAAAGUGAGGUACGCGUGCCUUUUUGUAUGUACUUUAUGAAUAAGGAUCGGCUAACUCCGUGCCAGCAGCCGCGGUAAUACGGAGGAGCCGAGCGUUAUCCGGAUUUAUUGGGUUUAAAGGGAGCGUAGAUGGGUUGUUAAGUUAGUUGUGAAAGUUUGCGGCUCAAACGUAAAAUUGCAAUUGAUACUGGCAGCCUUGAGUACAGUUGAGGUAGGCGGAAUUCGUGGUGUAGCGGUGAAAUGCUUAGAUAUCACGAAGAACUCCGAUUGCGAAGGCAGCCUACUAAGCUGCCACUGACAUUGAUGCUCGAAAGUGUGGGUAUCAAACAGGAUUAGAUACCCGGGUAGUC